CCAGAAACUAAAGUAUACUGGCUGGACAGGGGGAAUUUUCUGCUAUAGUUCCACAGUAGUGCUGCUAUGGUUUACUUCUAAAACAUCCUCAGAAGUCUCAAGUGUUUGGAAGCUGCCACGCUAAAGGUAAACACAAGGGGAGCAAGUUCUGAGGAGAACAUCACUGGCUACACACUACCAGGGAUACAGACUUCACAGAACUAUUUCAGCCACGUCACAAAACAAAUAGCCAAUCAAGCAAAUGGUAAGUAAUGGUAAACCUCUGACAGAUCAGAGUCUUAAACCAC
rnacentral:lncRNA from 1 species